AGAUAGAAACCAACCUGGCUCACACCGGUCUGAACUCAAAUCAUGUAAAGUUUUAAAGGUCGAACAGACCUUCUAUUAUAGUCUCUACUCCAUAAAGAACCUUUAAUUCAACAUCGAGGUCGCAAACUUUCUUAUCGAUAAGAACUCUUAAAGAAAAUUACGCUGUUAUCCCUAAAGUAACUUAAUCUUUAAUCCAUUUUAGGAUCAUUAAUCCAAACAUUUUUUGUUAGAAAAAAAAACAGUUACUUUUUCUUCUAUUCUUGUCGCCCCAACCAAAUAUCUCAAAACAAUAACCUUUAAACAAAACUCACCUACUAUUCUUAGAUAUAAAGUUUUAUAGGGUCUUAUCGUCCCUUCAAGCCAUUUAAGCCUUUUCACUUAAAAGUUAAAUUCAAUAUGUUAAUUUAAGACAGAUUAUUUCUUGUCCAACCGUUCAUUCUAGCCUUCAAUUAAAAAACUAAGGAUUAUGCUACCUUCGCACGGUC
rnacentral:rRNA from 1 species